AAAGCGUAGCUUAUACCGCAUACGCCCUACGGGGGAAAGCAGGGGAUCGCAAGACCUUGCACUAUUAGAGCGGCCGAUAUCGGAUUAGCUAGUUGGUGGGGUAACGGCUCACCAAGGCGACGAUCCGUAGCUGGUUUGAGAGGACGACCAGCCACACUGGGACUGAGACACGGCCCAGACUCCUACGGGAGGCAGCAGUGGGGAAUUUUGGACAAUGGGGGAAACCCUGAUCCAGCCAUCCC
rnacentral:rRNA from 1 species